rnacentral:tRNA from 1 species
CCUGUAGCUCAGUGGAUAGAGCGACUGGCUUCUAACCAGUGGGUCGGGGGUUCGAAUCCUCCCAGG